AGCCCCCUGGCAAUGAGCAAAGAGACAGCAUGUUGGUGGUAUUGUUCUUCUAUCAAUCAGGGGCAGAGCAGAUGGCCGUCCUUUGUUCAACCUAGCUUGAUGCCUGGUUUGGUGGCCAAAACUAUUUAAUGCCCGGGGCAACAUA